CCUGACCUCAAGCGAUCCACCCGCCUUGACCUCUCGAAGUUCUGGGAUUACAACUGUGAACCACUGCACCCGGCCCAUAAGUUAUUUAAAUGAUGGAAAAAUUCUAUAAAGAGAAAAUUCCACCUCCUCUACUGUUAGUGGUGAAGCUCACAUAAGAAAGGUCAAAAGAACUCAAGAGCCAAUUUGAGGACAUUCUGAUUAGCUAAAGUAUGACAAUCUGAGCAUCAGUAAGAUCAUCAAUUACAAACCAUUUUGAAAAAUCGUAUUGCUAGUGAUAAUCUUGGUAUUGCUAUUCUGAGAUAGUUGAGUUUGCAUUGUGAAAUAAAGCAAAUAUGUAUUUAUUUGAUAAUCUGAUUCUGUCAUUCUUGGUGUAAAUAAGAAAGGGGAUUCGUGGCAUGGAAAAAAUGAAAUAAAGUUAUAAGUUGAACGUGUUAAAUAAAAUUAUAACACCUGAUAUGGCAUGAUUUCAAAAUGUCCACAAAAAUUCAUAUUAGCAUAUAUUUAUGUUCC
rnacentral:lncRNA from 1 species